rnacentral:rRNA from 1 species
UACGUAGGGUGCGAGCGUUGUCCGGAAUUAUUGGGCGUAAAGAGCUCGUAGGCGGUUUGUCGCGUCGACUGUGAAAACCUGGGGCUUAACUCUGGGCCUGCAGUCGAUACGGGCAGACUUGAGUUCGGUAGGGGAGACUGGAAUUCCUGGUGUAGCGGUGAAAUGCGCAGAUAUCAGGAGGAAUACCGGUGGCGAAGGCGGCAUCCUGGACCGACAUUGACGCUGAGGAGCGAAAGCUAGGGGAGCAAACGGG